UUAUUUUUUGUUUAAAGUCUUCUCUGCGUUUAUUGACUGUUUGGGGAAUCCUUGCCUCUCCGCUGGGAUGUAGUACAGUAUAGACCUACAGCAGAAGCAAGAAUCUUGUGAACUCCUAUACAAGAUGCAGACGUAAUCCGGCUGUACACAAAAGUGAAGAUUAAUCAGAGUACAGUCAUAAUGAUGUUAAUGGUGGCAGUGACAAAACUCUUUGACCUUUCCCUUUGAUAUUUGAUGUUGCCAAAUAUCAUAAUCAGCUUGCAUUUUUGUGACAUUUCAAUGAGAAGGCUCGGGGACGCCGGUCAUGUGGAGGGCGUGUCAGACCAGGAAGCAGGUAAUCCGGUCAUGUGGAACGCAUGUCAGCAGUCACCAUGGAUAUGGUUUCUGUCUCCACGGGAAGCGCGUCAUCGCGGCUAGCCGGUGCUGGGAUCCCUGAUGAAUGGACGUGGACAGGUAACCUGCAACUUUAUCUCACUCCUGCAACAAUCUCUCACUCCUGCAACUUUACAUGCUUAUUUGUAUUGUGCUAGGUAACCUGCAACUUUAUCUCACUCCUGCAACAAUCUCUCACUCCUGCAACUUUACAUGCUUAUUUGAAUUGUACUAGGUAACCUGCAACAGUGCAACUUUAUUUAUAAUUAGUUAUUCUAAGCCACUACUAAAGUAGGAAAUCACUGUGUACUAGUGGGGGAUGUACUGGUCUGUUGAUGUUCACACCUAGUGCUAUCCUUUUGUUGUGGGUGGAGUUUCAGAGGGUGGGUGCUGUUAGCAAUCAAGCCUGUAUCCAUGUGUGCAUUUAUAUUUUAUUAGUACAUAUUUGGCUGCAAAGCCACUGGCUGCAAAGCAUCUUAGCUGCUAAGUAUGUUAGUGUUAAAUAUGAGGAUAUGAACUUUGGAGCUACACGGACAUAAACAGGAGAGAAACAGAAGGACAGCAGACUAUCUUCCCCACCUCCACAAAAGAACUGCAAACAAAAUACUAGAGCGUUACCUAAUCCACUACCACCAAUGCCUGCAGACUGCAUAGCCUGGACACUGACCUCCCUGUCUGAUUAAGUAACAGCCCUACUGCACUCACAUGCUUUCUGAAUCUCAUUUAUAUUAUCUACAACCACUGUGUAACAAUCUCAGCCUUUCUGAUCCUUCCAUUAUUUUCCAAAAAUCCUGUUUGCACUGUCUCUGCUCUUUCUACACCCCCCUUCUCAUUGUUUGUUCUAUAUUACACCCACUCCAUUCUAUAUUAUUCCUCUGAACAACACUACUGUACUGUUGUGGCUGCUCGAUCCUGUUCUAUACCAAAUCUCCCUGCUAGGUCACAUCCCCCAAUUUCCAGACCACUCUCAUUCAGAACCCAUCAAACCUGAUCCACAUCUUCCCUGUCCCCUCCCUUCCUUUCUCCUGUGCACUCUGGAAUGCUAGAUCAAUCUGCAACAUGCUGCCAACUAUCCAUGACCUCUUCAUCUCACACUCAUUUACCCUUCUUGCCGUCACUGAAACCUGGCUCUCCUCCUCUGACACCACCUCCCCUGCUGCCCUCUCCUAUGGAGGCCUCUCCUUCACCCACACAGUCAGACCUGAUGAAUGCCAGGGUGGAGGCGUAGGCAUCCUUCUCUCCCCAAACUGCACCUUUUGUGUUAUCCCACCUGAGCCCUCCCACCUUUGAGGUCCACACUAUCCGCCUCUUCCACCCCAUUCACCUCCAUGUGGCUGUGAUCUAUCACCCUCCUGGCCUCUGUUCAUCUUUCUUUGACAACUUUGCUGCCUGGCUUCCCCACUUUCUCUCCUCUGACCUCCCCUCUAUCAUCCUCGGUGACUUUAACAUCCGUAUUGACAUCACUAAUACAGCUUCCAAUAAUCUUCUUGCCCUUUCCACCUCCUUUGGACUUUCUCAAUGGACCUCCACCCCUACUCACAAUCUCGGCCACUCCCUCGAUCUUGUCUUCCCCCACUGAUGUGAUCUUUCUGAUUUCUUAAACUCUUCCUUCCCUCUCUCUGUCCACUAUCUGCUUUCUUUCUCCCUCUCAUCUUCCCCUCUCCUCUCCACACCCAGACCCACCAUCAACUGAUGCAAUCUCAGGUCUCUCAAUCCCGCUAUCCUGUCCUCCCUCGAGACUUUCCUCUCUCCUCUUUCCACUAUGACUUGUCCCAACCAGGCAACCUCCUUCUAUAACUCUUCCCUUACCACUGCUCUCGACUCUGUGGCCCCCCCUCUCCUCUGCCCCCCUCCACUGCUCCAAACCCCAACCCUGGCACUCCAAACUAACAUGAUUCCUACAAAAAUGUUCACACUCCGCAAUGUUCCUGGAGGAAAUCUCACUCUCUGGUUGACUUCCUCCAUUUCAAGUUUAUUCUCUCCUCCUACAGCUCUGCUCUUUCUCUCGUCACGCAAUCCUUUUUGCAAGUACUCAUCCUCCCCUCCCAUCCUCCCUCACUGCCACUGACUUUGCCUCCUUCUUCAUCUUCAAAAUUGAGGAUAUCCAACAUGACAUCUCCUCCCAUCACCCCUCUGCUGCCCCCCUGCCCCCAUCAUCCCUCCCCUCCAUUUAUCCCAUCCUGUCCUGCUUCUGUCCCACAUCAGACAAGGAAGUACACACCCUCAUCUUAUCCUCCCCCUCAGCCUGCCUUCUGGAGCCCCCUCCCGUCUUCUCUGCUCCCUCUCCACCACUGAGAAGAGAAAGAGAAAUACAUCUGCACACUUGAUGAUCUAACUUGAAGAUUUAAUGUAUUUACAAGACCCCAAUGUGCGUGUGUCUUAAAUUAGACUUUAAGCCUCUUUGGGGGUGCGACCCUAGGUGGGGAAGAGAUCUCAAACGUGGUAUUCCACAGAUCCUACCGCAUCUUUAUACUAGAUGCAGUAAUAAUAAUAAAGCUGGGUUAAGAUGACAGAUAUUCAUCAAGUCUAACCAGGGACGUGUAAACCCUAUCGAGUUUGUGUCCUGAGUGGUUCCUGUUUCACACAGAAAUUAAUUAUACUAGUUGCAGGAGUCAUUGUGGUGAUCCCACUUUUUAGAAUCUAUUUCACUUAACUUUCUUUUCUUCACCACGUAUAUGUUUGUAUAUGUCAUAUUUUAACCUCUAUAUUUUGCUGUAUGUGUCCCAUGACAAGGACCCUCUGAAUAUUAAUAGAAGCAAUAAAAGCUACGUUUUAUUUUUGAUAACUAAUCCAACAAAAUUGACACAGUGCACCCAACUCAACAACCACUUCUUUAGUUCCCUCUCCACCACUGCCUGCUCCCACCUUGCUCUCCUCUUUAACCUAUCGCUCUCUACCAUCAUCUUUUCCUCACCAUUUAAACAUGCUCUGGUCUCACCUAUUCUAAAAAACCCAACCUCGACCCUUCAUCACUAACUAGCUACUGCCCCAUUUCUCUUCUCCCAUUCGCCUGCAAACUACUUGAAUGACUGGUAUACAGCUGUCUCAUAAGCUACCUCUCUGACAACUCCAUCCUUGAUCCACUACAAUCUGGCUUUCACCCACUCCACCGAGACAGUCCUGGUGAAAGUCACCAAUGCCCUGCUUUCGACCAAAUCCAGGGGCCACUUCUCUCUGCUCAUCCUUCUGGACCUCUCUGUUACCUUUGACACCAUGGAUCAUCCUCUCCUACUCUGCACACUCCAAAACAUUGGCCUCUCUAGCACCAUCCUUGACUGGUUUACCUCUUACCUCACUAAUCGCUCCUUCUCUGUGUCUGCCUCCACCACCACAUCACACCCUUCCAUCCUUCCUGUUAGUGUCCCUCAGGGUUCUGUCCUAGGCCCCCUUCUGUUCUCCCUGUACACUUUUUUCCUGGGUGCGCUUAUUAACUCCUUUGGCCUUCAAUACCACCUCUAUGCUGAUGACACACAACUCUACCUCUCCUCUCCUGAUUUGUCCCUCUCUGUCUUCUCUCAGAUUUCCACCUGCCUAACCGCCAUCUCCUCCUGGAUGUCUAAGUACUCUCUGAAGCUCAACGGACAAAACUGAACUCAUUAUCUUCCCCCAGCCAGAGCAACACCCCCUACCAAUAUCUCUAUCACUGUUGACAACACCAUCAUCUCCCCAUUCCCCAACUCCACUGCCUGAGUGUCACUCUUGACUCCUCCCACUCUUUUGCACCCCACAUCCAAGUUCUGGCGCAAUCCUGUCAGUUCCAACUACGCAACAUUGCUUGCAUCAGGCCAUUUCUCUCCCAGAGUGCAACUAAACUUAUCAUCCACUCACUUGUCAUCUCACGACUGGACUACUGCAAUGUUCUCCUCACUUGCCUCCCUUGCUCCCAUCUCGCUCCCCUCCAAUCUGUCCUCAACUCCGCAGCUAGGCUUAUCUUCCUUUCCCACUGCUCCACAUCUGCAACUCCCCUUUGACAAAACUGGCUCCCAUUCCCCUACAGAAUCCUCUUCAAACUCCUCACCCUCACAUACAAGGCCAUCUCUAAUUCCACUGCUCCCCAUAUCUCCAACCUCCUCUCCCUUCAUAUUCCCUCCCACCCAGUAUGGUCGGCCAAUUACCAUCACCUCUCCUCUGCCCUGGUCACUGCUUCUCAUGCAUGAGUUCAAGAUUUUGCCCUUGCUGCACCCCUUCAGUGGAAUGCACUACCCUGCUCCAUAUGACUCUCCACGACCUUGCAAAGCUUCAAACGGGCACUGAAAACCCACCUAUUCAUCAAAGCGUACCCUUCCAAUGCAUAACUUAGUCCUGAGGCUGCUCCUCCAUCCCCCUGCCUCAUGCCUUGAACAUCUAUGCUUUGAUUACAUACUGCCAUCAGGCUACCUCCCGCUUGCUUGCACCUCAUGUCAUCUGUCUGUUGCUCCCCUUCCCACUAGAUUGUUAGCUCUUCAGAGCAGGGCCCUCUCUCCUCUUGUUGUCAAAGCCUUCUUCUUGCAGCUCUCUCCUACUCAGUGACCAUCUUUACACAUUUUCUCCUACUGGUAAAGGCUCUUCUCUAUCUAUGGCUACCAGCCCCAAGUAGUACGAUGAUUACUCCCUCGCUAGUUACAUCUUAGCGGUAUUAUGUUUUGAGAAUUGUGGUGCUCUUUGUUACCUGUACUCUAUUUUUGUUAUUUAUUUACUGUAAUGCUAAGUUUUGUCUCCCUGUACUGUCCUUUGUACGGUGCUGCAAAACACUUGUGGCAUCCUAUAAAUAAAAUGUAAUAAAAAUAAUAAUAAUAAUAUGAAGUUAAACAGACUAACAACAUAGAACAGUCUGACGAUACUUGAAACACGGGAAAGUUUACUCUAUUCUUUAAAUUAAGAAACACAUAUGGCUAGAUUUUGUUUUUAUCAGUAAUCAACAGCCCUCCACAGUACCGAUAUAGAGGAUAUAUUGCUUUUUCUAUAGCCCCUAAUAAGCUUUCAUUGAUACUUGGUGUUAAAGUGUAGACUGUUUUAUCAGUAAGUGGUGUUAUAAAGAAAAGACUAUACUACUGGUGCUUAAAAUGUUUUAUUUUCAAUAUAAAUUUUAUAAACACCUAAGUUUGAUUUUAACAACACUCUGCCUUGAGUAAAAGAAGAUCCAGUGAAACAUGCCUUAAUAUAACAGCUGGUUGGGUUAGUGUUUUUCUAUUGUUUUGGAAUAAUGUUCAGUUAAAACUUAGAAGCUACUGGUUUUUAUCAAGAAAACAAGGCAUGGCUACUCUAAAUUGAGGUGUAGUUACAUCAAAUAAGGCAGCAUGUCAUGAUUUCAGGGAAUUUUUUAAAUUCAUCUAUCAAGCUGUUAAUACCAAUGAUACUGUAGAUCUGUUUUGGUGAUAACCAACCCUGGUGAAAUGUGUCACUAAGUUUUACUGGUAAUUGCAUCCACUAGCUAUUUAACAAGUGGUACCUGGUCUGCCACAAUCGUUCUUCUGUUAUUGCCAUCUUGGCAUUUUGUUAUUGACAUUAGGCAAUAGUAAAAAUUGUUGUGUUGUGUCAAUAGACAGCGUCAAGAGAACAUCAUCAUUAUUUAUGUUUUUAUUAAUAGUUCUGAGUGGAUUUUUACAUAGAGAACACACAUAUAAAAGAUCUCAUAUAAAGAAAAAAGAUAUUUCUUUGUUGAGUUAUAUUUAAAAUGGCUUUCAUGGCAAAAGUAAUGAUUGAGGUAAUGCACAUUUAAACCAUGUUCCUGUUUUGACACUCAACUUGACAUGAAGUAGUUAUUUAAUUGUAUAGGGAGUGAAUAAGUGGAGAAAUGUGUAAAAAAAAAGGCUUUGUGUAGUCUUCAUUGUUGAAAGCCCAGUGACCCUAAAAUUGGGAUGUGUAAAAUAACAAAAAUAUCAACUAAAUUGUUUUUUAAUCAGAA